rnacentral:rRNA from 1 species
UACGGGGGGAGCAAGCGUUGUUCGGAUUUACUGGGCGUAAAGGGCGCGUAGGCGGCGCAACAAGUCACUUGUGAAAUCUCCGGGCUUAACCCGGAGCGGCCAAGUGAUACUGUCGUGCUAGAGUGCAGAAAGGGCAACCGGAAUUCUUGGUGUAGCGGUGAAAUGCGUAGAUAUCAAGAGGAACACCUGAGGCGAAGGCGGGUUGCUAGGCUGACACUGACGCUGAGGCGCGAAAGCUAGGGUAGCAAACGGG